GACGAACGCUGGCGGCGUGCUUAACACAUGCAAGUCGAGCGGUAAGGCCCUUUCGGGGGUACACGAGCGGCGAACGGGUGAGUAACACGUGGGUGACCUGCCCUUAGCUCUGGGAUAAGCCUGGGAAACUGGGUCUAAUACCGGAUAUGACUCCAUGACGCAUGUUGUGGGGUGGAAAGCCUUGUGCGGCUGAGGAUGGGCCCGCGGCCUAUCAGCUUGUUGGUGGGGUGAUGGCCUACCAAGGCGACGACGGGUAGCCGGCCUGAGAGGGCGAUCGGCCACACUGGGACUGAGACACGGCCCAGACUCCUACGGGAGGCAGCAGUGGGGAAUCUUGCGCAAUGGGCGAAAGCCUGACGCAGCGACGCCGCGUGAGGGAUGACGGCCUCGGUGUAACGUACUUCUA
rnacentral:rRNA from 1 species